CCUACGGGUGGCAGCAGUGGGGAAUAUUGCACAAUGGGGGAAACCCUGAUGCAGCGACGCCGCGUGAGUGAAGAAGUAUUUCGGUAUGUAAAGCUCUAUCAGCAGGGAAGAUAAUGACGGUACCUGACUAAGAAGCCCCGGCUAACUACGUGCCAGCAGCCGCGGUAAUACGUAGGGGGCAAGCGUUAUCCGGAUUUACUGGGUGUAAAGGGAGCGUAGGUGGCAGGGCAAGUCAGAUGUGAAAACCCGGGGCUCAACCCCGGGAGUGCAUUUGAAACUGUGUAACUGGAGUACAGGAGGGGCAGGCGGAAUUCCUGGUGUAGCGGUGAAAUGCGUAGAUAUCAGGAGGAACACCGGCGGCGAAGGCGGCCUGCUGGACUGAAACUGACGUUGAGGCUCGAAAGCGUGGGGAGCAAACAGGAUUAGAUACCCUUGUAGUC
rnacentral:rRNA from 1 species